CUUGCUUCUGUUUUGUGUGUGCCGAAAUUCAGUAGGAUCUGGCAGCUGGUCAUCAACGACACCUAACUACAGCAAAUUAAACACCAUUCAGUCUAGGAUUCGUGUCCAAAUAUCCGAGCAUCAAACACUUUAGUCGGCCAUCAAUCAUUCUAGAACAACAUUUGUCUAAUCCAUACUCUAGGAACCUUGUGAACAACCUGCAGCUGUGGAAUGCAUGCCGAAGGUGAAAGUGGGUUACUUAGUAUAUCUUAUUGUAUACAAGCUCUCCAACAAAACUAAUACCAACAGAAAGAUGGACCAGUUAGCAGUGUCAUAGGAGUAGAUCAGUAUUUCAUGGGAAGCAUGCUUUAGUGUGCUAGGGCUGUGUGUAUUGAGAUAACACAUCAUGUGGCUGGCUCAAGUAGGUUGUCUCGGUCUGAUAAUAUCCUGUUUUACUGUCAUGUCAUGCCUAAUAUAAUUUAUCACAGUUUACCAGAUAUAAACAUCAACAGACAAGACAACC